UAUUUUAUUAUCUUAAUUAUAAGAAAUUUUAAAUAAAAUUAUAUUGUGAUCAGACGGAUUGAAAAUAAAUAAUUAGUUUAGUUUAGUUAGGUUAGGUUAGGUUAUUCAAUUUCAACUGACGUUUUACGUUUGUAUACGGCAUUACCAUAACGCCAGACUGGAAAGACUGGGGAAAAUCAAGAAAUAUAUUAGAAUUAAGCAACUCCAUGCAGAAAUUUGAAGCUUGUACCACUAUGACACAAGUAAGACUCGUUACCACUGGGUUAAUUAGUUAGGUUAUGGAAGGGUACACGACAAUGUGACGUCAUAUCCAUCAGCAAAAACCAAAGUGUUUGUUGAAGUGCUAACGUCCUCUCAAUGGCUCCUCUCUGACAUUCGACCUCCUGAGUGUGCAGUUCAAUAAUAAUAAUAAGUCACUCAGGAAAUAUUUGGCCAACAUUUCGGGCGAACACGACCUCAGGAAACUUCAGAAACCCGCCAUUUUAGGAUCUUCAUACAUCAUUCGAAAGACGCUUUCGUAAAAUAUGUAAUCAUCUCUAAAAAUAAAACUAUAUAAUAUAUGUAACACGUAUUAAAAACAAAAUGUAUUUCGGAAAUAUCUGCUGCACUAUGUACCUCAGGGACAAGGUUUUUCUCGGGUACGUGGAAGUAAAUAUCAUGUAAAGUGGUGAAUAGAUGGGAUAUAAUAAUAAUAAAUUAUUAGUGUUAGUGUUACAAGUGUCAUCUCUACUAGGUGGGACGUGACUACGCCCCAAGCCAUGAAGACGUAUGGGGUUAUGGAGGUCCAGUUCCAUACACUUCUAACCUCGGUACUAAGUUGAGGUGACUUUGCACUCUAACGCCCCGAGACAUGGCGCCCCAGCAUCCGUUGGAUAGGAGGCUGUGUGGACCCAAUCUCCGUCCGAGAACAAUCGACGUUUCUCCAAUACAAAAUAAAUAACAAUAACAUUGUAGCAGUUAUGACAGCAGCAAUGCUGGUUUAUUCACGAUGGCUCCAUCCUGAGGGCUGAAGUGACGAUGCCUGGAAUCGGAGGGAUUAAAUAAGGCGUCAGGAAAGGAAGUCUCAAGGACAUUGUCAAAUCAGGACGGAAUUCCAGCCCACAGCCCCCCCAAAAACCCAGAAGAACUUCAACGUGAUCGUCGUAACACCCGUGAAGACUGCAAAUGUCAUAAUAGCUAACAACUCUGAUUUAUUCCUCAACUGAAAAGAGCCUACCACACGCAGACACUAAUAAAACACACAACACUAAUAAAAUAUACUGAAAUGGAACACGUCAGAACAAAAUACAGUUAAUCAGAUUGUCAAUCUAGACACUUCUACGUAUAAAGUGUCCUGAGAGGAGACAGAAUUUUUUUCCAAAUACGUAAAAAAAUGCAUUUUUCGCUUACUGAAAGAACGUGUCUUAGUGAACUACUUGUUUGCCUUGCAGGCUCGUAGAUACAAACAGCGACCUUGAUAGAAUGACAGCUUAUUUUUAACUUUGAAAAUAAACAUCAGAGAUUAAUAAAAUAUCGAGAUGUCGUCUUGAAUAAAUUAUUCUAAAAUGAGAACAUAAUUGGGUAAAAUAUCGAUCUCAGAAUAUCAGUUGUUUUGUAACUUUGUUUCUAAUUUAGUAACAAUCUCGUCUAAUCUGUUCUGUUUGCAACAACAGGGGUUAGAUGUUUCAAAAUUUGCGUUCCCUCAGUGUUACUCCGCGUUUUAUUUCCGUCCAUUUACAGUACCAGAACUGACCCUCGAUCACUACGGUGUCGUCGUAUUCCUCAGGACGGCCUCCUCGCGUCAGGAUCUGCUGUCGUGGGUCGUGCUCCUCGACUAGGGCGCCGCCCAGUGCGGCCAGGAACAACACUCGCCACAACAUGGCAACUUGAACUACAGGCCGGCCACUUCGCAAGCCUCUUUUAAGUGUGGCAGGCCUGCCACGUGGAGACACCAACCCGCGACCAGUUACCUAGGGUCAUCAACACGGAAUUCGCAGAGACCACAAUCCGUCUUCGUCCUCAGGUAAAACCUACUUUGUUCAUGGAGCCAGCACGUGUCUUCAGAAAAUGUUACAAAGCAAUGAACCAAGGGCGGAGACCUCGGGCCAUUUGGUAAUUAAUGUGUGGGUGUGUGUGGUAUUUGCCACUGCUACACUUCUGAGAAAAUGAUGGGGCAUUGACGCGGAUGUGUCAGGGGAAAUCAGCCCCAGUUUCACGCAGUCAAGCUUCGUGAAGCUCCGACGAGCUGACGAGUAGCGAUAAGAUUCUGGCUCACUCCUUUAGGGCUAAAAGGGGAGUAGCUUCUAUCAGUCACUGAACGGUCAUUACAUCUGAGCCAGGUCACACGAAGAGAAAGCGUUCGAUACAAAAUGGACACCUCUUCAUGCGAGAUUCGAGAAUAUGGCUGCUUCGUAGGACAGAUCUCCAUGUAAUAAACAAAACCCCUGAAUGAGGGUAUUCUGUUGUAGAUCUUAAAAUUUUAUUGAGCUAAAAUAACUUUCCUAGUGACACAAGCAAUAAAGACGAUUUUCAUACAAAAAUUGA